GUGCCGCUCUUCCCUUUCCCCUACCCCUUCUCCAUUUCGCAGCCUUGAGAAAAUGACGACCAGAUUCAAGAAGAACAGGAAGAAGCGUGGCCACGUGAGCGCCGGACACGGUCGUGUCGGAAAGCACAGGAAGCAUCCAGGUGGACGAGGUAACGCCGGAGGUAUGCACCAUCAUCGUAUCCUUUUCGACAAGUACCAUCCUGGUUACUUCGGUAAAGUCGGUAUGCGUUAUUUCCACAAACUCCGUAACAAGUUCCAUUGUCCAACUGUUAACAUCGACAAGCUUUGGUCACUUCUUCCCCAAGAAGUCAAGGACAAGGCUAAAGCCAAUAAUGGUGCUGCUCCGCUAAUCGAUGUUACUCAGUUUGGGUACUUUAAGGUUCUGGGUAAAGGUGUUU
rnacentral:lncRNA from 1 species